GCACACUUCUUGGACCCCUGCAUAACUGCUUGCAGUUCUAGUUAGGGGUCCAAGCCAACAGGUUGGAUCCCUAUUGUUUUUGUAAGGAUUUUUAGGGGUCCAAGCCAACAGGUUGGAUCCCUAUUGUUUUUGUAAGGAUUUUUCUUAUUAUUCCAGCAGCUAAAAGUGGUACUACAGCCCAAACCGUAAAUGGUGCACACACGCCAAUUACAUGACUAGAUCCAGGUCCGUGAGGUGACGGCAGACGACAAAAACCAGACACGCCGGCCACUAGGUGGCGCUAUACCAAGGAAUACGCGUUUGGGGCUAUAACUCCCGCACCGAACCUCCCACAGUCAAAAACUUGUACGCACAUAUCCACUGGAGUCUGCUGCAUCUUUUGGCAUAGGCCACGCCCAUUUGC
ensembl:lncRNA